GGUUAAGCGACUAAGCGUACACGGUGGAUGCCCUGGCAGUCAGAGGCGAUGAAGGGCGUGCUAAUCUGCGAUAAGCGCCGGUAAGGUGAUAUGAACCGUUAUAACCGGCGAUACCCGAAUGGGGAAACCCAGUGUGAUUCGUCACACUAUCAUUAACUGAAUCCAUAGGUUAAUGAGGCGAACCGGGGGAACUGAAACAUCUAAGUACCCCGAGGAAAAGAAAUCAACCGAGAUUCCCCCAGUAGCGGCGAGCGAACGGGGAGGAGCCCAGAGCCUGAAUCAGCAUGUGUGUUAGUGGAAGCGUCUGGAAAGGCGCGCGAUACAGGGUGACAGCCCCGUACACAAAAGCGUAUGUGCUGUGAGCUCGAUGAGUAGGGCGGGACACGUGGUAUCCUGUCUGAAUAUGGGGGGACCAUCCUCCAAGGCUAAAUACUCCUGACUGACCGAUAGUGAACCAGUACCGUGAGGGAAAGGCGAAAAGAACCCCGGCGAGGGGAGUGAAAAAGAACCUGAAACCGUGUACGUACAAGCAGUGGGAGCACCCUUUGGGGUGUGACUGCGUACCUUUUGUAUAAUGGGUCAGCGACUUAUAUUCUGUAGCAAGGUUAACCGAAUAGGGGAGCCGGAGGGAAACCGAGUCUUAAUUGGGCGUUAAGUUGCAGGGUAUAGACCCGAAACCCGGUGAUCUAGCCAUGGGCAGGUUGAAGGUUGGGUAACACUAACUGGAGGACCGAACCGACUAAUGUUGAAAAAUUAGCGGAUGACCUGUGGCUGGGGGUGAAAGGCCAAUCAAACCGGGAGAUAGCUGGUUCUCCCCGAAAGCUAUUUAGGUAGCGCCUCGUGAAUUCAUCUCCGGGGGUAGAGCACUGUUUCGGCUAGGGGGUCAUCCCGACUUACCAACCCGAUGCAAACUGCGAAUACCGGAGAAUGUUAUCACGGGAGACACACGGCGGGUGCUAACGUCCGUCGUGAAGAGGGAAACAACCCAGACCGCCAGCUAAGGUCCCAAAGUCAUGGUUAAGUGGGAAACGAUGUGGGAAGGCCCAGACAGCCAGGAUGUUGGCUUAGAAGCAGCCAUCAUUUAAAGAAAGCGUAAUAGCUCACUGGUCGAGUCGGCCUGCGCGGAAGAUGUAACGGGGCUAAACCAUGCACCGAAGCUGCGGCAGCGACA
rnacentral:rRNA from 1 species